UCGGCCAGUUUUAAUAUGAGAUUCUUACGAUUAUAAUAAAUUAGGUCAAGGAGGCAAUGAAAAAAUUGCUUUAAUCAAAAAUUCCAUGAGGAAUUAUAAAAUUGUAAAGACUGGUACAUCGUCUUAUUGGUGUAACGUGAUCUGAAUUCUGUCAGCUGAUUCCAGUAAAGAUUCGAACGAUUAAGAUUGUAAAUUGUCAUGCGUUGAUAUGUUGUGCUCCUAAAACUUCUAGUCACUCUGCUGGAUUGCCAAAAACUGCAGGCUGCUAAUUGGACCCAGAUGUAUAUUAAAGCAAGCUAAGCCCAGAUGGACACGUCUCUAUGCCUACCUCUUAGCGUUUUGAACCUUGGAAUUGGUAGUCAGGUAUGAUACAAUAAUAAAAUAAAAGGUAACGGAAGACAUGAAGUAUAAUCGCGGGAAGUCCCUGCCAUAGAGAAAAUUAUAAAUUAGAAAGUUACUAUCCCUGGCUCGAUGAAUUUGUCUUUCGCGUUACAGUUUUUAUCC